rnacentral:tRNA from 1 species
GGAUUGUGGCUCAGCGGUAGAGCGCUUGCCUCGCAUGUGGGAGACCCUGGGUUCGAUCAUCAGCACCA